GUUGCCCGAAAUAUGUACACCCAUGUACUUUCUACAGUGUUUUGUUUAUAGUUGAUUUGGUUUCUUAGGUCGGCCUUAUAAUUGGUAAAGGAGGAGAAACAAUUAAGAGUAUGCAAGCUUCUACUGGAGCACGGAUUCAGAUUACUUUUAAUGUUAAACACCAAUUGCGAAUGGAAGAUCGAAUUUGGAUCCAACUCCAAUCCGGCUCAGAAUUCCGGUGCGGUGGAUUUUCAGAGAAUCGCAGAGUCAUCACUGCGGUGGUUACGUGGCGAAGUGGUCACGCGAGAGGGAAGUGAAGUGAGCUUCUCAGAGAUGAACUGUGAAGAAUGAGCUCUAAUCUUUGAGCAAAAAGCAACCGAUUCUGAAUAUGAGGGUAGAGAGCUUGAGAGUGAAGAGUGAAGAUUGAAGGUGAGGAAUGAAAAAACUAGAAAAGCUUCUGAUUGCACUGUUAUAUACAUGGUAUUCUCAACCAAAUCGGGCAACGGAUCGGGCAGGGAUAAGUCAAAAUUGGACCUUAGCUUGCAGUUCAGCUGGAUUUGCACGUUACUUCUAUGAAGGUUUGUUGUGGUUGGAAG